GGGGUCGUAGCUCAAAUGGUAGAGCGCCCGCUUAGCAUGUGGCUGAGCGCCCGACACAAUGUGCGGGAGGUAGGGGGAUCGAUGCCCUCCGACUCCA
rfam:Chlamydomonas reinhardtii strain CC-503 cw92 mt+ CHLREscaffold_76 genomic scaffold, whole genome shotgun sequence.